rnacentral:rRNA from 1 species
GAUGAACGCUGGCGGCGUGCCUAAUACAUGCAAGUCGAGCGAACGGACGAGAAGCUUGCUUCUCUGAUGUUAGCGCGGACGGGUGAGUAACACGUGGAUAACCUACCUAUAAGACUGGGAUAACUUCGGGAAACCGGAGCUAAUACCGGAUAAUAUUUUGAACCGCAUGGUUCAAAAGUGAAAGACGGUCUUGCUGUCACUUAUAGAUGGAUCCGCGCUGCAUUAGCUAGUUGGUAAGGUAACGGCUUACCAAGGCAACGAUGCAUAGCCGACCUGAGAGGGUGAUCGGCCACACUGGAACUGAGACACGGUCCAGACUCCUACGGGAGGCAGCAGUAGGGAAUCUUCCGCAAUGGGCGAAAGCCUGACGGAGCAACGCCGCGUGAGAGAUGAAGGUCUUCGGAUCGUAAAACUCUGUUAUUAGGGAAGAACAUAUGUGUAAGUAACUGUGCACAUCUUGACGGUACCUAAUCAGAAAGCCACGGCUAACUACGUG